rnacentral:lncRNA from 1 species
AUGUCACAAAGAGGAUAUGCUUUAAGUCUUGGUAAAGCCAAAAGCAGUCAACAGUCAGACUGCAUCUCAGCACUAUCAAGAUGGAUCUCCAUAAUAGGUGAUGAAUAGUUUUAUUGGGGGGAAAUAUUAACUUUACCUAUUGGGGGAAAGUUUUAGAUUGGUUUGCAGGUUGUAACCCAUUAAGUUGAGGCCAAUAGAUAGACAUUCAUAACCCUGUACCCAUCAAAUAAUCAACUUUAUGGGUGACUUUGGGACUGAUUUAUACAACCACAUUUCCUUUCUCAACUCUAUAGCAGCUUUUUCCUCUGUAUUUGAAAAAAAAUAACCAAGAAGGAGAAGAUAAGGAACCAGGAAUAAGAUGUAGAUGAGUAUGGUAAGGAUCUAAGCUUUGCAAGUGAGGGGGCUAGGAAGAUGGCUUUGUGGUCCAGCAUAGGAAUGAUGGGUGCUUCAUAUUAUUGAAUUCCUGUUCUACAGUCUUUGAGCUCUUUGCUCUCCUACUUUUAAGGCCUGCCACGUUCUGGGAGAUGGUGGGACUGGAAUGUUUUCUAAUGACGACGUGUCAGCCAGCUGCUGCUCUUGCUCUGCCUGCUCCUCCUCUCCCAUUAUUUCCCAUCUUUUCCCCUCAUCUGCCUCUGAGCAGUGACCUCCCUCAAACCCCUGUUGUAAUUCUGAACUGUCUUCUUCUUCUCUGGAAGGGUCAGGAUGGGGAGACGGUCUCCACCACUCCUCUUCUGCCCAGUCCCUGACACUUAAUGAAACAGUUGUUUGAACUGGCUUGAAGCUCUUCCAUCACUCCUUAAUCUUCUGUGUCGGGCCCCUCUCUCUGUGAUCUUUUACUGUGGGACUCCCUCUGCGUCUGCCUGGCUCACUGCUCAGGAAUAUGCAAUAAACGCUUCAUUCUAGGAGUGGGGCCGGCAAGCUGUCAGCAGAGAAGCUGUCAGAGCGGCUUUAAGGCAAAACUCCAGGGUCUACCUCUCCUCUGUCAUCUCUGUCGGUGCCUGCAUCCAUACUGGAAACCUUCUCACCUUGCCUGUGCAUCUCUUAGCUAUCUCUCAAGCGCCCUACUCCUAGCAUGUCCCAGCUUGUCCCCUCCUCUGAGGUGUGGCCUGUGUCCCGCCACCAAUCCCCAGGCUCGAAAUCCUCUUCCUCUGCACCUUCCCCGGGGAGCUCUUGACUGGGCAGUUGUCACCACUCUGCCUCAUCCAGCCAGUCCCUGGCAUCCUCUUGGUACGCCACAGCAAUGGUGGUGACAGGAGGACAGGUAAGCAGAACCCCCUCCUGCUGUUGGUGAGCACCAAGUGGAAAUGUGACUACUGACUGUCCAUAAACAACCCUGGCUUUAUUUGAUACAUUAUGUUAACCAAGCUAACAUCCCAUUUUUACACACACACACACACACACACACACACACACACACAUAUGGGCAACUGGCCUAAAGCCAAGUUGGACUGUUUCACCGAAGCAUCUCAUUUUAUAUUCUUUCAGGAUCCCAUCAUUUUUCUUAGCAGCUUUCCUUUUGCCUCCUAUUUAAAAAAACGAGUGCAGCUGAGAGCAGUGCCCUGAAUGAAGCUUUUUACUAGUUUCGAAACUUUUGGGGACAUUUGCCGCCCUCUUGAAAAUGGAAACCUGCAAUUAAAAUGCAAAGGAAUGCCAUAAUAUAAUAAAAAUGGGUGAGCGAGUUUGAAAGCCACUGCACUUAACUGCUGGGGGUGGAGGUGAACAUAAUAAAAUAAACCUUAAAUAUUGAGCCGCGCUCUCCAAUUGCGGCUGAAUGUCAAUUGACACCGACAGAGUGAAAAUCCAGCGUUCAUUAGGAAGUGCUUUUGUGCAAUACUUGCCACGAAGAAGAAUGCAACUGAAGGGGCACAUUCCCAUCUGGUGCAAAUCAAAGGAGCAUAUUAGCAUUUAUUUAUUAUCAAUUAAGGUACCCCACUUUUCACUAUAUAUCUCAAAGCGUCUUGAAGAGAAAAAAAGUAAAGCAUAUUAGGUUGCAUUCGAAGUAGCACUAAGGGGGAAAUUCCAUUAGCAGAAGGAUUCCUACUUCUGCAAGAGAGAGAGACAGAAAGAGAGAGAGAGAAUGCACGUACUUUUGUAACCUACAUAAUUAUUUAAAAACAAACAAUGCUCUCCCACUCUCCUCCCCCCACAAGUCCCCUGUAUUGGUUCUGGGGUUUCCUCCCACACUCUGGAGAAGAUAUGGAAAUAGCAGGGAGCAUCUCAGCAGGGAGGAGAGGGGCUGAAGACCUCUUGCACAAGCAAUUAUUUAGGAACAUAGGAAGCCAUCUUAUACUGAGCCAGACUAUUGGUCCAUCUAGCUCAGGAUUGUCUACAUUGACUGACAAAAGUUUGCAAUGAUUUCAGGUGGGGUUCUCUCCCAGACCUACCUGGGGAUGCUGAGGGUUGAAUCUAGGAUGUUUCGCAUGCAAAGCAGAUGCUCUACCACUGACCUGCAUCCCUUCUCCAGCACUGACCUACAGCUGAAUAACACCUAGGCUGGAUCUACGCUGACCUGUUUUAACAUUAUUAGAAAGUUAUUAGAGCAUCUGAGAAAGGCUGGUGCCAAUGUCCUGUACUGCCCAGCAGCUGCCUGAGGCAGUCCCCUCAUUUUGCUUAAUACUAGGGCCGGUCCUAUCCUGCAUAGACCUUAUUUUUAGUCUUGGAGUCCUUAUUCCCAAGGUUCUUUUAAUUGCUGAUGCCAUAGAAUCUGGAGCCUUAUGUGCAAAGUAUAUGUUUUCUGACUGAGCUGUGAUAAUUCCAAUUUCUGUAUGAAAGUUAUCAUUGGAAAAACACCUUCAAACGUGGCAUGGGAACAGGAGAAAGUCCGGGACUGCUACCCUCCACCCCCCAAGUAAAGAAUAAGAAGUUAGCAGGCAUGGGUGUCAGGAUGUUGUCAGUGGCUCCCGGCUGGUUGCCCAGGAAGGUAUAAAGACAAGGAAAGGUUUCUUACAGUCCUUUUUUAUUUCAUUUUUUACAGAGAGAGGCUAUAGAACCCAGCCUCUUGGAUAAUGGCGUUGUCCUGAGUGAAUCUCCACCCCCCGUAUCUCCCACUUCCUCAUUCGUCAUCAUCAUCAUCACCUCCUCUACGGGUGCUGCUGUUGGGUUUCUAUUCCUCUCACUGUGCAGAUAUUGUGUAGGAUUGGUUCAUCACAAGUCUGUGUUAUUUAUGUGACGUUAACAUAUGAGAGUGCUGGAGGUGAAAUAGUUAAUCAGAUUACCCAAUCAGGACCCAGGGGGGUGGAGUCAGAGGGACUGUAAAACCAGCUCUGGGAGGGGCAAAGGGAGGAGUUCAUGAGGAGUUCGUUGGGAGUUGGGUGGUUGGUUGGAGUGGGAGUUAAUUGGGAUAGAGUUUGUGGGUAGGUUGAGUUAGUGUAGCAAAAUAGGCUGAGUCAGGAACAGUUAGGGGCUAGGAAGACAAGUAAAUAUCUGAGAGGUGGUUUAGUGAGUGAGAGUGGGUAGCAAAAGUUAUAGGUCUAGAUAGGCACCCCAUGAAUGUAAUUGACUGAUACUGUCUAUGAAAACACACGCUUGUUAAACUGCGAUAAAUAAACAAAAGUUUAAGUUUCAAUUUAACCCUGACUGGACUCAGUAUUGUCCCAAGUAGGGCCUGGGUAGCGGCAGCGAGACUCCCUAGAGCUGCAUGCUGAUGGGAGGCACAGGCUGGAAACGUUCCUGUCGUUUGCCUGGGGGUCGUCCUAGCCCCCGGGCAAGCCGACAGCUGCUACGUGCCCUUUGCCUUUGAGUUCUUUGCUCUCCUACUUUUAAGUCCCGCCGGGUUCUGGGAGAUGGUGGGUCAGGAAUACCUUUUGAUGACAACGUGUCAGCCAGGUGUUGCUCUGGCUCUCCCAUAAUUUCCCAACUUUUCCCCUCAUCUGCCUCUGAGCUAUGACCUUCCUCAAGCCCCUGUUGUAAAUCUAUACUGUCUUCCUCUGCCUCCUCCCAGUCUCCGCCAUUUCUCCUCUGCCCAGUCUCUGACAUUGGGUACAAUACAGACAAUGUGGGGAUCUUGCUCUUUUCAAUAAUCUGGAACAUACUGGGAGCUUAUACACACUGCCUGCAGUCUCUUGCUUCUGUAGCAAGCUGUCCUUUCCUAUUUGGGAAGCAAGCUGCAAACCCCAGUCCUGCCUCUGAGCGUACACUAGUCUCUCCCAACAAAAGAGACAGCUCUGCUUUUCACCCAUGCCUGGGCCUGCUUCACUGUCAGACUUUUGCCAGAAGGGAUGGUCAGUUUACCACCAUAAUCUGAAGCUACGUUUCCCUUUGCUACAGGAUGCCCAUGGCCCAACCCAAAGCUCCGAGGCUGCCUGAGACCAAACUGUAGGACAUGCUUUGCAAAAGGUCAAAAUAAAGCUAACCUUGAAGCCCAA